AAACAUCGCCUCCUGCAACAAAACCAAGUAUAGGAGGUCCAGCCUGCCCAGUGACCACAAGUUCAACGGCCGCGGUAUUUUGACCGUGCAAAGGUAGCGCAAUCACUUGUCUUUUAAAUAGAGACCUGUAUGAAUGGCUAAACGAGGGCUUAACUGUCUCCCCUUUCAAGUCAGUGAAAUUGAUUUACCCGUGCAGAAGCGGGUAUAAUAAUACAAGACGAGAAGACCCUUUGGAGCUUAAGGUACAAAACUCAACCAUGUCAAGCAACUUAAUAAAAAGCAAAAACCUUAUGGAAUAUGAUAUUUUACCUUCGGUUGGGGCGACCACGGAGGAAAGAAAAGCCUCCAAGUGGAUCUGGGAAAAUUUCCUAAAGCCAAGAGAGACAUCUCUAAGCCACAGAACAUCUGACCAAACAUGAUCCGGCAACAAAGCCGAUCAACGAACCAAGUUACCCU
rnacentral:rRNA from 1 species